rnacentral:pre_miRNA from 2 species
ACUCUUUCCCUGUUGCACUACUGUGGGCCUCUGGGAAGCAGUGCAAUGAUGAAAGGGCAU